rnacentral:misc_RNA from 1 species
UCGAAACCUCCAAAUGACCCGCGAACUAGUUAUCCACGAGUCGGGGGCGUCGGGUUUUAUCCCCGUAACCCCCGUGCGCCGGUGGUGGCCAUGCGAGCCGAUCUCUUGGCACGGUUGGCCCACCACCUGCCCAAUAAACCAACCCCGGCGCGGCACGCGCCAAGGAACCUUGCAUCAUAAGAAGGAUCACGCUACCGUCCGUGCCGGAAAUCGGAUAACGCGGUCGGCGGCUGUCCUCCUGUUCAUAACAAAAACGACUCUCGGCAAYGGAUAUCUUGGCUCUUGCAUCGAUGAAGAACGUAGCGAAAUGCGAUACUUGGUGUGAAUUGCAGAAUCCCGUGAACCAUCGAGUCUUUGAACGCAAGUUGCGCCCGAAGCCUUCUGGCCGAGGGCACGUCUGCCUGGGUGUCACACAUCGUCGCCCCAAACCCAACACCUCACUAGAGGAGCUCGGGAAGAGGACGGGGCGGAUAAUGGUCUCCCGUGCGCACCCGUUCGCGGUUGGCCCAAAAAUCAGUUCCUGGCGAUCGCAAGCCACGACCAGCGGUGGUUGUAAGACCCUCGAUUUCAAGUCGUGAGCACCUGCCUCGCCUGUUGGGACAAUUUGACCCUGUACGUGCUCGAAUAACUUCGAACACUCACAAA